AGCAAUACAGCACUGAUAUGGGUGCGGAUACGAAGCCUCUUGAGAGAGAAUUGAGGCACUCCAUGCCUCCAUACUCUGACUCAAUACGUAAACGGCGUACAGAACGGUAACAUAUCUCUAUAAAAAUCUGAGCUUGGAUAUACGGAACAACCCAACUCCUUGGGAAGGCGUAAAUUGAGCGGU
rnacentral:ribozyme from 1 species